rnacentral:misc_RNA from 1 species
CCCAAGUCCAAACACUCCUUUUCAUUAGAAGGAGAAAAGGGUAACAGCACCCUCUUUCUUUCUUUCCCUCUACUCUCGGCUUUCCCUCUUCCGAGAAAAUUUUUGCUAGAUUUUCUUUCCAAUUUUUCUCUGUUUCCUACGCGUGAAAGCGAUUACUCAAACAGGCGCAUCUCCGUAAAUAUUCACUCCUGUUUUCUUUUCUCUUCCUCUUUCGAAUCGCUUUCUCAUUAUCUGUGAUGGAUUUGUUUAAUUUUCAUAAAGUCAAAACUGAGAAAACAGGCUCUAUACUGUGGAACAAUCACCUUCCAAGUUUAACAAAGCUGUUUCGAUUAAUUGAGUUUUGCCUUGCUAUGGUGUUUCUCUCAUGGAUUUUCAAUCGGCUUCCAUUUGCCAUCAGAAUUUCUGGCGAGUUCUUCAUGAGAAUCGCUGGAGUAAUCGCCAGUCCAAUCUUCGUUUUCUUGCUCUGCAAUGCUAUCAUUGCUACUCUCAUCGUCAAAUCUGGCAGAUUCUCCGGCGAGAAUCCCUCCACAGACAAUGCUGAGACUGAGCUUUACGAGGAGCUGUUAAAAAACAACGAAAAUGGUUGUUCCAAGUCAUUGUCAGAGAAUCCUUCCACUCCUUCGCAUCCUCCAUUUCACGCAACCAAGGAGAUUGAGUACCAGGACAAAGAGAUUAUCUCUCAAGUUAAUGUUAUCACUCAAACAGGCAAAAAUAACGAUGGUGCUGUUGAAAUGGACUUGUACUCAUUUUCUGAUUCAGACUCAGAUACGGAUUCUGACAAUCCGAGAGUUUAUCGGAGGUCGAAAUCGGAGAAGCUAGAGAAGAAGUGCUCUGAGAAGGCGAAAGCGAAGAAGCUGCAACGAUGGGAGACAGAGAAGCGCAUGAAUGCUGUGAAGUCCACCAGCGGCGAGGGUUUAUGUCCAGAGGAUGAAUUGAGUGGCGAGGAAUUUCAGCGCGCCGUAGACGAGUUCAUUGCCAAGCAUUUGAGGUUUCGUCGCCAAGAGUCUUUGGCUGUUGUUCCUCAAAACCAGAGCUCAAUCGCCUAAAUUGAGAAAAAAUGAAAAUUUAUAAUUAAAAUUAAAAACCGGAUUUCCGUUUUCCUUUUUCCCAUCUUUUGUACAGGUAAUUUCUCAAGAAGGUGGGGAGCAGUGCUGAAACUGGGCUUCUGGUUUUUCCAGAUCUGAUGAGUAUAAUGAAAAUUAAGUGGGUCCAUGUUAUAUUAAACGUGGAAGAUCAGAGCUGUGUGUUUUGUGAUAAAUCAUGUGCGAGCUUUGCUUGUGAUUUGCCUUUGGUGAAUAGAUAAAAAGAUUCUGAAAUUCCCCAAGCAAUACUUAUCUGGUUGGUCGUGACAUAGUGGAAAUGGCAAUAUAGGAUUGC